rnacentral:rRNA from 1 species
GAUGAACGCUAGCGGCAGGCCUAACACAUGCAAGUCGAGGGAGAAGCCUUCGGGGCAGAAACCGGCGCACGGGUGCGUAACGCGUAUGCAACCUACCUUUCACAGGGGGAUAGCCCGAAGAAAUUUGGAUUAAUACCCCAUAAUAUUAUUGGGUGGCAUCAUUUGAUAAUUAAAAUUACGAUGGUGAAAGAUGGGCAUGCGUCCUAUUAGCUAGUUGGAGUGGUAACGGCACCCCAAGGCUACGAUAGGUAGGGGUCCUGAGAGGGAGAUCCCCCACACUGGUACUGAGACAGGGACCAGACUCCUACGGGAGGCAGCAGUGAGGAAUAUUGGUCAAUGGUCGGAAGACUGAACCAGCCAUGCCGCGUGCAGGAAGAAUGCCUUAUGGGUUGUAAACUGCUUUUAUAUGGGAAGAAUAAGGAGUACGUGUACUUUGAUGACGUACCAUAUGAAU